AAGGGUGCGCAGGCGGCUUGGAAANAACCGUGUGAAAUUCCCGGGGNUUCANCUUCGGAACUGCACUAUUAACUAUCNAGCUAGAGUAUNUCAGAGGGGGGGUGGANUUCCGCGUGUAGCAGUGAAAUGCGUAGAGAUGCGGAGGAACACCGAUGGCGAAGGCAGCCCCCUGGGAUAAUACUGACGCUCAGGCACGAAAGCGUGGGUAGCAAACAGGAUUAGAUACCCUGGUAGUCCACGCCCUAAAC
rnacentral:rRNA from 1 species